rnacentral:rRNA from 1 species
GAUGAACGCUGGCUACAGGCUUAACACAUGCAAGUCGAGGGGAAACGACGGGGAAGCUUGCUUCCUUGGGCGUCGACCGGCGCACGGGUGAGUAACGCGUAUCCAACCUGCCUCUGACUGAGGGAUAACCCGUCGAAAGUCGGCCUAAUACCUCAUGGCAUCGUCUGCGGGCAUCCAACGACGAUUAAAGAUUUCAUCGGUCAGGGAUGGGGAUGCGUCUGAUUAGCUUGUUGGCGGGGUAACGGCCCACCAAGGCUACGAUCAGUAGGGGUUCUGAGAGGAAGGUCCCCCACAUUGGAACUGAGACACGGUCCAAACUCCUACGGGAGGCAGCAGUGAGGAAUAUUGGUCAAUGGGCGAGAGCCUGAACCAGCCAAGUAGCGUGCAGGAUGACGGCCCUAUGGGUUGUAAACUGCUUUUAUGCGGGGAUAAAGUGAGGGACGUGUCCUUCAUUGCAGGUACCGCAUGA